rnacentral:ncRNA from 2 species
ACCAUCACAAAGGGGUGCUGUUUUCAGCUGAGAUUGAAUCUUUGAUUCUAACCCUUCGAACCUGUUCGUUAGUACGAGCGUAGGGAUUGUGACGGGGCGAAGU